UCAAUUUUUCAGUGUUUCCAAUUAUACCGGAUUAGACGACAUUCUGUCCUCACUGAAAAGUAUAAUUGGAAUUAAAGAUAUAGAUGUGUCUGGUCAGGCUAAAUGUGCUCAUAGCUGUGCGAAUGUGCCGGGAUCGUUCCGUUGUGUGUGUAAUCUGGGGAUCGAGCUGGACACUGAUGAGAAUCACACCUACCGGCCCUCUGAUUUCCCUGAUGUGGAAAACAGGGAUGGAAUUGAGGAAUCCGAGCUCAAAAUUGAAAAUUUCUGUAUAAAGCAGAAUGUCACAUAAUUCAGCAAAUUUUUCAUGGCUACUAAAGAUAUAUAAAUAUUCAGUUGGGGUGAUUUUUUUUUUGUUAAUCUAUUUUUUUUUUUUUUGUUAAUCUAGCCACUGUACCAAUUAAAAACCUAGGAUAGUUUUGAUUUACUUCUAUGAGUUUGCAGAGAUUUUCGGCCCUGGCAGCUUUUAGAGCCUGUCUAUAGAUAUUCUGUGUUAGAGAAAUAUUAUUUCUUAUGUGCAUUCAAUCAAUGCCACUGCUUAUACGUGAUUAAUUUUGUCGAUCUCACAUGAGUUACAAAGAUUUCCUUAUAACAUUUAAUCAAGACAGACAGUUUGUUUUUGACACAUACGUACAUAUUUGUGUGUGUAAAUCAGUAUUUUUAUUGUAUGUAUUGAAACAGACUCUGUACCUUUAUCGCUACUCAAUGUAUGAUGCUUUUGACAGAAGGAUUAGGGGAGGAGGACAAAGUUAAUGCUAAUUGAGAAAGUUAACUGCUUUAUAAUAAUGCUCAAGGUGCAAUGUGGCUAAUCUUAGCUACAUAAGGUAGUGAUUUCAACUGUGACAUCACAUCAAAUCUAAUUAGAUGAACUGCAGUGCAUCAGUCCUCAUGAAAGCCCCUGCUAACUUUAAUUUCAUACGUGUCCGCAGAGCAGUUAGGUCAGGUGGAUGCAUAGCUGCUCUACUUAAAGAUGUCUAUCAGUUUCCUCUGAGUUUGACUGUUGUGUUAUUGCUGGGGAUUUUAAUAUUCACAUAGAUAAUGCUGAAACCAAUUCUUAACUCUUUUUUGGUGUAUGCAAAAUUAUUCAUAUUCAA